rnacentral:lncRNA from 1 species
UUUUCUUUUCUCUUAUCCAAGCAAAACCUGUGCAUGCACAAAAUCAUACAUAAACCCCACACUGGAGUCCUCAUCAAAUACUCCAAUGGGGUAUCAUCAUCAUACAUAUCAGCUUGGAUAAUCAUGGUCAUUAACAUCAUUACUCAUUAAUCACUCUGUACAUAAUGGGGAUUCACACACCUCUAGGUCAAGCACUACUAUAAUCCUCAAUACAUUAUCAAAUCAUUCAUUACAUUACAUGGUCAUAAAUACUCGUUACAUCAUGUUCAUGUCCACUACUAUCUAUUACAACAUACAAGACUUAACUUCACUCUAGCCGACUUCCCGAUCUAUCCUAUACCUGCAACUCUGGGGAUAAAGGGAGUGGGGUGAGCUACUAGAGCCCAGUGAGCAGAAUAAUAAGACAUCAAUUAAAAUCAUGCUUUCAUGUAUGCGCCAUAACACAAACAUUUCACAACAAGGAUGAACU